GUAAGUUUUCUUGUAAUAUUUAUAGGUAAAUCCCCCCCUCUUAUAUUGCAAACCGCUACGGAAUAUGUUUGCGCUAUAUAAAUGGCAAUAAUAAUGGGAAAGCAUUAUACACGCUUUACGGUGGGUGAAAUACUACUGCUAGCACGGCCACUGAUGUGCAUUAGGUGUCCCCUGUCAGCAGGAAAGGCCACUUUGCAACUUUUUCUGAACACUAUAGUUUCCCUUUAACAGAAGUGUGUGUAUGUUUCUUACAAAGCUUUGAAGAAAGGAGAUAGCGCUGGCAGAGGAAAAGGAUUCCUUCCAGCAAGAACAGUAAAU